AGCAGCCGCGGUAAUUCCAGCUCCAAUAGCGUAUAUUAAAGUUGUUGCGGUUAAAAAGCUCGUAGUUGAAUUUCGGGAUCAAUUUACUGGUCGUGCUAUUGUACGUACUGGUUUUAUUGAUUCCUCUCUUCUGAAGAACUAUGAUGUCAUUAAUUUGGUGUCAUAGGGAAUCAGGACUGUUACUUUAGAAAAAUUAGAGUGUUUAAAGCAGGCUCACGCUUGAAUACAUUAGCAUGGAAUAACGAAAUAGGACGUUUGAUUCUAUUUUGUUGGUUUCUAGGAUCGACGUAAUGAUUAAUAGGGAUAGUUGGGGGCAUUAGUAUUCAAUUGUCAGAGGUGAAAUUCUUGGAUUUAUUGAAGACUAACUACUGCGAAAGCAUUUGCCAAGGAUGUUUUCAUUA
rnacentral:sRNA from 1 species